AUGAAACUGACAUAUCCAACGUUCGCUUCUCCUCUUCUCUACUUACUCUGCCUAGCAUCAGAAGCUCUAGCCGCAACAACCAUGUCUGCUGGCUGCUCGUCCACCUGCUCUUCAGCAGGCAACAACCAGAUAUGCGCCAAGUCACAACCCGUACCAUCGCCUGUGGGUCUCAUCACACCCUCGCCGGCACGCGCACCGCAGCCGAUUGCUCAUCGCAACCCGCUGCCGUUGGUGUGGUGCCACUGCUGCAAAUCACGCAGAGUCAUCCGUCGCGUCUCAACCACAAUCCGCAACCCUGGCCGAUUCUUCUACAAAUGCCCGAAUCAUGGGAAAAGGGAAGAUUCGUGUGAUUUGUAUUUCUGGUAA
rnacentral:rRNA from 1 species